GUGGGUUCCUGCAUGUGGCGCCUAUGUGUGCUUCAUUGCUUCUUUGAUCGAUGUUUUUGGGUGGGAUUUCGUGGGUUCCUGACCGCUCUGUCGUGUUGUGUCUGUCUGGCAUUCUGGAGCAGAUUGGUUGCGGUGUGUGGUCGACGGUGCGCUGGUGUUUUUUUCGUCUGUUUAAGUAUUUGCUUUGCCGCUCUGGAGUCUCAUGGGUCGUCUGUUGUUGCUUCAUAUUCUCUCCUGUUAUUUCUUUCAGUGUCGUCUUGCCUCUCUCUUUCUCGUUCACUUGUGGUUGUCGGUCCUGGUUUUCGCUUUGUCUCUUCCAGAGUCUUGUCUGCUAUUUUCCUUGAGUGCCCGUGCUUUUUUGCUGUCUCUUUUGUUCUGCCGAGUUCUGUGUGUGAAUG
rnacentral:lncRNA from 1 species